ACCAACCUGUGGUCCUUCAGAUGUUGCAACGGCUUUACAUCUAGGGGGUUUCAGGUUGCCCA
rnacentral:pre_miRNA from 1 species